rnacentral:rRNA from 1 species
CCUACGUGCGGCAGCAGUGAGGAAUAUUGGUCAAUGGACGAGAGUCUGAACCAGCCAAGUAGCGUGAAGGAUGACUGCCCUAUGGGUUGUACACUUCUUUUAUAUGGGAAUAAAAUGUUCCACGUGUGGGUUUUUGUAUGUACCAUAUGAAUAAGGAUCGGCUAACUCCGUGCCAGCAGCCGCGGUAAUACGGAGGAUCCGCGCGUUAUCCGGAUUUAUUGGGUUUAAAGGGAGCGUAGGUGGAUUGUUAAGUCAGUUGUGAAAGUUUGCGGCUCAACCGUAAAAUUGCAGUUGAAACUGGCAGUCUUGAGUACAGUAGAGGUGGGCGGAAUUCGUGGUGUAGCGGUGAAAUGCUUAGAUAUCACGAAGAACUCCGAUUGCGAAGGCAGCUCACUGGACUGCAACUGACACUGAGGCUCGAAAGUGUGGGUAUCAAACAGGAUUAGAUACCCCAGUAGUC